UACAGAGGGGGCAAGCGUUGUUCGGAAUUACUGGGCGUAAAGCGCACGUAGGCGGAUCUUUAAGUCAGGGGUGAAAUCCUGGAGCUCAACUCCAGAACUGCCUUUGAUACUGGGGAUCUCGAGUCCGGAAGAGGUGAGUGGAACUCCGAGUGUAGAGGUGAAAUUCGUAGAUAUUCGGAAGAACACCAGUGGCGAAGGCGGCUCACUGGUCCGGUACUGACGCUGAGGUGCGAAAGCGUGGGGAGCAAACAGG
rnacentral:rRNA from 1 species